UACGGAGGGUGCGAGCGUUGUCCGGAAUCACUGGGCGUAAAGGGCGCGUAGGCGGCUUGGGAAGUCUGUGGUGAAAGCUCGUGGCUCAACUGCGAGUCGGCCAUAGAUACUCCUAAGCUCGAGUCGACUAGAGGCAGAUGGAAUUCCGGGUGUAGCGGUGGAAUGCGUAGAGAUCCGGAAGAACACCGGUGGCGAAGGCGGUCUGCUGGGGUCGAACUGACGCUGAGACGCGAAAGCGUGGGGAGCGAACAGG
rnacentral:rRNA from 1 species